rnacentral:tRNA from 1 species
GGGCCGCUGGUCUAGUGGUAUGAUUCUCGCUUAGGGUUAACUCCUGAGUACUUGUUCUGCGAGAGGUCCCGGGUUCAAUCCCCGGGUGGCCCC